ensembl:piRNA 21ur-3292 ncRNA
UGGGAAGUUUGGUCUUACGGC